UACGGAGGGUGCAAGCGUUAUCCGGAUUCACUGGGUUUAAAGGGUGCGUAGGCGGGCAGGUAAGUCAGUGGUGAAAUCUCCGAGCUUAACUCGGAAACUGCCGUUGAUACUAUUUAUCUUGAAUACUGUGGAGGUAAGCGGAAUAUGUCAUGUAGCGGUGAAAUGCUUAGAUAUGACAUGGAACACCAAUUGCGAAGGCAGCUUACUACACAGUUAUUGACGCUGAGGCACGAAAGCGUGGGGAUCAAACAGG
rnacentral:rRNA from 1 species